AUUGAACGCUGGCGGCAUGCCUUACACAUGCAAGUCGAACGGCAGCACGGGAGCAAUCCUGGUGGCGAGUGGCGAACGGGUGAGUAAAGUAUCGGAACGUGCCCAGUCGUGGGGGAUAACGUAGCGAAAGUUACGCUAAUACCGCAUACGAUCUAUGGAUGAAAGCGGGGGAUCGCAAGAACUCGCGCGAUUGGAGCGGCCGAUAUCAGAUUAGGUAGUUGGUGGGGUAAAGGCUCACCAAGCCGACGAUCUGUAGCUGGUCUGAGAGGACGACCAGCCGAAAUGGGACUGAGAACCGGCCCAGACUCCUGCGGGAGGCAGCAGUGGGGCAUUGUGGACAAUGGGCGAAAGCCUGAUCCAGCCAUGCCGCGUGCAGGAUGAAGGCCUUCGGGUUGUAAACUGCUUUUGUACGGAACGAAAAGGUUUGGCCUAAUAAGCUGAGCUCAUGACGGUACCGUAAGAAUAAGCACCGGCUAACUACGUGCCAGCAGCCGCCGUAA
rnacentral:rRNA from 1 species